rnacentral:rRNA from 1 species
GAUCCUGGCUCAGGAUGAACGCUGGCGGCGUGCCUAAUACAUGCAAGUAGAACGCUGAAGGAAGGAGCUUGCUCUUUCCGGAUGAGUUGCGAACGGGUGAGUAACGCGUAGGUAACCUGCCUGGUAGCGGGGGAUAACUAUUGGAAACGAUAGCUAAUACCGCAUAACAGUAGAUAUUGCAUGAUAUCUGCUUGAAAGGUGCAAUUGCAUCACUACCAGAUGG